UACGUAGGGUGCGAGCGUUGUCCGGAAUUAUUGGGCGUAAAGAGCUCGUAGGCGGUCUGUCGCGUCGGUCGUGAAAACUUGGGGCUUAACCCUGAGCUUGCGGUCGAUACGGGCAUGACUGGAGUUCGGCAGGGGAGACUGGAAUUCCUGGUGUAGCGGUGAAAUGCGCAGAUAUCAGGAGGAACACCGGUGGCGAAGGCGGGUCUCUGGGCAUUAACUGACGCUGAGGAGCGAAAGCAUGGGGAGCGAACAGG
rnacentral:rRNA from 1 species